UUAAACUUUUAUUCUUUUCUCAUACAUUACAUCCCAACCUUAGUUUCCCCUCCCUCCACUCCUCCCAGCCCCUCCCUCCAUAUCCCCUCUCCCCCAGAUCAACUCCUCUGUUUCUGAUACAAUAAGACUGGGCACAAACCCUCAUAUCAUGGCUAGAUGUGGUAACCCAGUAUUUUUUUUAGACAAGGUCUCUCUGUGUUGGUCAGGCUGGUUUUAAACUCAAGGAUUCAAGUGAUCCUCCUUCAAGUAGCUAGGACUACAGAUGCAUACCAUGUACCCAGUGAGGUCAGUGCUUUUGAGGGCACCGCCCACUUGUCAUUUGCAGGCUGGGUUGGGAUGCUGUAAAGCAGCACUGGGGCAUCUUGAUUACAGUACAGGAGUGAGCAUGCUAGGAAGCCAUAGAUGCUGGGGCUGGGGGUUGAGCAGGGGAUGAAUUGGGAUCCCCUAGCAUCCAACUGCGAAUUUGGGAGAGUCAACUAAGUCUUCCAGACCUCAGUGGUCUUCAUUUGUUCAUUAGGAUGACAGCGGUAGCUACCUCUGUUGUAGUAUGAGACUUGACUUACGUUCAUAUCAGCAAAGUGCCUAGGACUGGGUGUGUGAAAUAUAUGGUCCCACGGGACCCUACAGUAUUAAAUGUUCUGAGGUUAUUAUCUUGUUAUUAUCUUAAAAUUUGGAUAUAGGUCCCUCCAUUUUCUUUUGCAGUGCCCCCUCUGGGUUCUGACACUGGCACAUUGGAGUAACUCUCUGUCUUCUGAGGGUGGUUAUUUACUAUUGCUUUGAAAAGGCAGGAUCAUGAUGUUUUGGGGUCGCAAGGUCAGAAGGUUGUAAGCAAUCUAAGGAGGUGAGAAGAGAUCACUUGGUCCUUAAGGGUUUCUCUCUUGUCCCCAGCAGUUGAAGUCGUCUGCCUCGGGACUUGGGGUACUCACCAUAGCUGGAGCCUUUGACAGUGCCAUCUUUCCGGCCAGUCAAGAAGAUUCUGAGUUGAGAUAUGCAGUCCCGAUCUCUGCUCAGACACCAGAAUCCCAUGGGUAGGGUCAGGCUACUCACUUAAGAAACUCUUCUGGCUCCUCGAAGACCUUCUCACAACCAGGCCACUUGCAGACUCCGUUGGCCAGCAGUGGGUAGGAUCCUUGUGGUGCAGCCAAAAGGUUGCUGGGGGUGGGAGAACCCAGGGUGUCAGCAGAGGGGUGGGCGGAGAGAAGGGGCUCUUCCCAACACUGCCAACUUACUUUUCUUUCCUGGGUGUACCCGAGCGUGGGAAGGUGCAGAGUAGAGCUGGCUCCCUGGAUACCCACUCCAGACUGGCCACAUUGAUCCCUGUGAGUAGAGACAGGGUACUUCUGGGGCUGCAGGCUAGGCUCUGCAGCUUGUCCCAGAAGGCCUCUACCUUCCCUGGACCUUGGAGACUGACUGAUAGGACUCUGCUGUUCCCACAGAGCAGGCUUCUGACAGAGAAGCCUAAAGACAGCCCUUGGUAAGUAAUGACAUUUUGAGUAAUGGCAGCAAUUUGUGAUUUUUGACAUUCUAUGUCUUCAAGGUUCUAAGCCUGACAGAUUUUGGAGGUUGGUGUUUUCAUGACUCUUAAGACCCCUCUAGACCUCCAUAGGGCUGUAACUCAGAAAAGUUUACAAUUGUGUAUAUUCAAAAAUCUGAGGACUUGGCGGUUCUGUGAAGCCAUGGGGAGAAAGCAGAUGUGUUUACCAGGUGGCAGGCCAGGCCGGGCCUUGAGGGAGAAGACCCCAGCGGCAGCAGAAGGUGGUGGGAGGCUGAUCAUAGCUGGGUUGUCCAGUGGGCGCACUUGUAGCAAAGGGGUCUGGGCAUGGGCAUCCACAGUGGAGAGCUGAGGAACAUAUAUGGACCAUGGCUCAGGCUGGCUUGUGCUCUGCCUUACAGUUAUCCUGUUUGUUCCCUCUUCCCAGCCUGUUCAGAUUCCAUACCUGAUGCAUGAAGUGUGGUCUAUCCUGGAGAAGUGCCUGCAAGUGGGGCGAGGGGCCUAGUCGGGCCCCAGAGGGUGCCACCAUGACUAGGGGUACUGUAGGCAGCUGGAAGGAGAAGGCAGAUGCCAUGAGAUGCUAGCCUCAGCUUCACAGUCCUGUGUCUCAUCAUCGUCUUUUCACUAAAGUUCCACAUAGUAGGGACUGUUAACAUAUCCAGUUCACACACGUGGAAUCUGAGGCUCAUAGAGACAUGAUUCACCAAUAUCAAACAGUUAAAAGUGGUAGAGUUGGCCCCAACACUGUCACCUUACCUUCCUGGGCUCCAGCCAUCUCCUCUUGACACAGUGAGAUGGGGACACAUGGCUAUGCCCAUGGGAUCAUAAUAAGGUCUCCUUUUGGGACAAGGAUUGGGAGGGUGGGGGAAGCCUCGAAUCUCUGAAGCCUGGAGAGUGGGGAUUUUCUUGGCCCUGCAACAUCUGCAUAAGUCAUAGACUUGCCUGGGACCCAUAAACCACUUCCUGUGCCCCAGCCAGCCCCCCUCCUGCCACAUGCCACAGUAAAGGUCGGCACCUAUAGGCCCAGGUACCCCACCCUGCUUGCCCCAUUCUGGGCCCCGGGCCUCACCUGCAGCUGUGAUGGUGGCAGGGGGUUUAAGGAGGAAGAAGUGUGGGCCCCACCUCGCAGGUCCCGGCCUUGGAAGGUUCCCCCAGGACCCCUGGUCCCUAGGAGUUCUGAGCCCUUGGGUGCAGUCUUCCAGCUUGGUAAGACUCCUGGGGAUGGACCAAGGGCCAAGGAAGGGGCCACGGGCUUGGCUGGCCUGGGGUUGGGCAUUGGGUUCUUGUCAGAGGCAGGCUGCAGGAACAACAGUGGAAUGGAAUCACAUGCAUUCCAGGGGUGGUGUAAGACAUUCAUCCACUUGAACCAUACAGAUAGUGUACCCGAGCCCUCCUCUCUCUUACACAUAUACACUGAUAUAUGUAUAAAACACAAAUUGUGUUUAUCCCCCACAUGUACAUGUCCAGAACUUGAUUUGCCUGCAUACACCUCACAGUCCUGUUGUGAAUGUGGGGCAAUGGGGAGUUGGUUUGUGGAGCCUCAGCCUUCUGGUACCCCCUGCAUUCUGUAUGGGCCACAGUCAUUGCUGAUUCUACUGGGGCUUAUCUUGGACUCUCUUUUCAUUAUUUUAUUCCAGUGACUUGGGCAUGAGCUCAAAAGAGUCAGCUGGAUGCCAUGAGAGGGAAGGUUCCAGGGAACUUAGUAGUACUAGUGAGAAGUGGACUGCAAUAGUUUAGGUCAGUGAUGCUGCUGCUACCAACCCGGAUAAUGGCAGAGCAGCUGGUAAGGAAUGGCUAGAUAGUAAGUCUUUUUUUGAAGACAGAGUCAGGAGAAGUUGCUGGAGGCUUAGAUGUAGGAGAUGGGAGAAAGGGUCAAGAUGACAUCUGGGGUUUUGUAUAAGCAGCUAUGACAAAGUAAUCAUUGCCAGAGAUGGAGAAUGGAGGAGUAGAGUUUGCAGAUGGCAGUCCGAUGUGGCUGCAUGCAAAGGUAAGCAAUUAGAUGGAGGGUAGACAUGCAGGUAGGUAACUGAACUCAGGACUGCACAGCUCAGGGCUUUUGUCCUGCAUGGAGUUAACAUGGCAGGUGCCAGAAAAAGGAGGGACAGGAUUUCUUGAUCCAGGGCCCUUGGGAGCUCCCCAAAUUAGCCUCAUCCCUACUUGCCCCAAUCUUUGCUCCCCAAGCUUGGAAUUCCUGCAGCAUCUCGUCUUCCCCUAGCCAGACCUGUCUUCUGUGUUCCUCCUUAAAGCCCUCCAUGGUGACCCAAGCCCCUCUGCUGAGCCCCAUUACCUUAUAGAUCCUGAGGGGCAUGGCUUUUGUUUUUGUUUUGGAUCUUAUAGUUCUAGUCAGAGAGGCAACCAGAUCUUGAAGUGAGGGAUCUUUAGUUAAAGGGGUACCCCAGGUUCAUAUUUCUACAGUUUGUUCAUAGCCUGUAACCUUUUCUUUUUAGAUAGGAUCUCAUGUAGCCUGGACUAGCCUGGAACUCACUAUAUAGCCAGGUUGUCCUUGAACUGUUUGCUUUCUGAGUGCUGGGAUUACAAGUCACCAUUCCAGGCUGAUGUCUCCACAUCUUGGUCUAGGAAGUAUGUAUCCAUGUCUACAGUUCACAACUCCCUGCUUUGUAGAUGUGUACAUGUGUGUAUGUCAUUCUCUAGUCUACUGUACUACAUGCCUUGGGCAUAUGGCUUCUGAAAACAGCCAGGGGAGCACAGAAGUGUUCUGGAAGCCAAUUGCUUCUUUGUUAUCAUGUCAUGGGGAUCAUCAGAACUGUGGCCCUGAGUUUAAAACUGCAGUGUCUCAUGGGUUAAACCAUUAGCAUGAGAACCAGGAGUCUGGGUCUGUAGAGGCUGAGAACACGGGCUUCAUAGAACAGUGAUGAGAAGAGGAAGUGAAAGACUGAAUGAAGGCAGGCAGCCAUGAGGUGAUGGUUCUCCAAGGCAAAGAGAGCAAAGAAAACAAACUAGAAGGCCAAGAGUAGAUUACAGAAGGAGCCAACCGUGCUGACAUAUUGGUCUUCUAACCUCUAGAACUGUGACACAAUAAACUAUGCUGUAAAAUUCA